GGUAUUAUUGGCUUCAACUUCAAAUUNAGAAUUAUUACUUUUCUCACUUAUCUUAUCAUCAUCCAAGCUAUCAAUAUUUUUCUUGUUGCGUCUCAGGAAUAUAUGAUGCUUGAACAUAGGUGACCACAAAUUUAACCAAUAGUCAUCAUCGAAGGGUUUCUUCAAAUAAUCGCAAGCUCCAAGAUCGAAAGCCUUCGUCAUGGAAAUCGAACUAAAAUCCUCAG
rnacentral:lncRNA from 1 species